rnacentral:ncRNA from 12 species
GGUUGGGCAGUUUGUAUAAACUGUUUCAAGUUUUUGAGCUUUAGGGUGGAGAGCU